GCGAGACUAUAGAGAAGGUCUUCCGGAACGCCGUUUCGGGGGCCUUUUUCUUUUGCGGUUCAUUUCAUCUCAUCUGA
rnacentral:misc_RNA from 2 species